rnacentral:rRNA from 1 species
UACGGAGGGUGCGAGCGUUAAUCGGAAUUACUGGGCGUAAAGCGUGCGUAGGCGGCCCGUCAAGUCAGAUGUGAAAGCCCCGGGCUCAACCUGGGAACGGCAUUUGAAACGGGCGGGCUGGAGUUGGGUAGAGGGGAGCGGAAUUCCGGGUGUAGCGGUGAAAUGCGUAGAUAUCCGGAGGAACACCAGUGGCGAAGGCGGCUCCCUGGACCCAAACUGACGCUGAGGCACGAAAGCGUGGGUAGCAAACAGG